AAAGAGACUGUAUACCAAGCUCUGAUACCACUUGUUAUCCAGAUAAAUAAUUCAAGAAGGGGGAUGAAUUAAGUUUUUUAAAAAUUUGAAAUCUAUUGUACACAAUAAUUAAACUAGGUGAGGCAAUAUGAGUGUGAGUUAUGCUAUAAAUAAAAGUAUGAAGAUGUAAAUAAUAAGCAAUGAAAAGAAAUAAUGAGGUAUGCAUCCUUGCCAAGAGGAUGCUCUAAUAUGAUGAUUAGACAUGUUUAUCAGGAGGUGAAUAUGGCAGC
rnacentral:lncRNA from 1 species